UCUACAGGAGACUUAUAAGGUUCUUCCUGUGACAAUAACUCUCGCUUGUGUCUUUUUCUAUGUGAAAACUGGUUGUUUAAUGUACUUUUGUGGUCACAUGGAUUCAGAGCAUAUAGUUCUUCUUGGAAAGCAUUGGCUGGCUUAGACUCUGCCUGUUCAAAAACCAAACAGCAAAGGUGGACUAUGAAGAGGACACAGAUGGUGAAGCCUGUGGCUCGAAGUUAUAAGGUGCACCUGACCGGAACCGACCCGUUUCCUCCAUUCUAAUUCAUCCUCCUGCAGUUUGAUAUUUGCCCUAUACUUUUCACCUCCAUCUGUAACCUAACACCAAUGUUGCUAAACAGAGAUUUUUUUAGCCUAGCAAUUUUGUCGGUCAAUUCUGUAUCUGAUAAAUUCGAAAGUCCUUCUUUUAGCUCUUCUCCUUCCAUGGUGAUCGAUUACUGUUUUUCAGCAGGCAGCCG
rnacentral:misc_RNA from 1 species